rnacentral:lncRNA from 1 species
AUAUAAGGACAACCCUCUCUGCAACUGUUCUCACAACUCAGCAGAACAAGAAGGAAUCUUGGUGAUCCCAUGGGAGCUCUGGAAGGAGCUCUGACUUGUCUGUGGAUCCAGGAGAUGUGUCAGACUGGGGGGAAGGAGCAGCAUUUGCAGGUGUUCCUGUUUCCUUCGUGGAUGGAAGCUUCUGCAGCUGUCGCCGAGUGUUCGAAAGAAGCAAAUCCGAGACAGAUCUUCCUUGAUUCCUUUUUCGUGGCUCUGCUCAGCACUUCCUCCUUCAUCUCCCGAGAGCAGAUGUGCCGAGAGGCAAGGAGCUUGUAGCAUGUCCUGGACUUGUCUGGUGUGCUGUAGGUGCUGAGGUAAUUGUGACUCCCCCCUCGGUGAGUUCCCACCCUGCACUGGCUCCUCUGUGCUCUGUUCCUCGCUCAGGAUGUCUCCUGGCAUCUC